GGGUGAGCCCAAAUCCAGGUGACUCUGGGGACACACUUCCAGCUCCUGUGUCCCAUCCUUCUUGUGUUGCUGUCUCUGUCUGGAACACCUGCCUCCAUCUCUCAGACUCCUAGGCCACUCCUCUGUCACUCUCUAUUUCCGCUCUGGUUAAGAGGCUGUGUGGUUCUAGAAAGAACCUAGAGUUGGGAAACGCACUGAAUGUGUCACCAGAUGUGGACCCUAACACGCUUCUCAGCCCUGCUUAAACAUCUGACUUUUAUGUUUGACGUAAUUCUCUUGUCUUCUUGCAAGGUGCAGUUGUUCCGUUACCUAACACCUUGGGGCCUUGAGAUUAUGCGGUUUUCUGCUAUGUUCCAGGAAGAAGCUCUAAGUGACACCCACCCUGGUCCCAGUGGCCUCUGAACCGGCCCAGACCACAACCAAGACUGACACUGCGCAGAUGGGCAGAGAGUUCUACUAAAGCAACCUGACCUCAUCAUCAUCACAGAUUCCCCUCCUCUGGGAGGGGUGAAGCAGCGAUUUUUAGGUCAUGCGAUGUAUCUAAAAACAUGACUUCAAACCACGCGUGUGUAAGCUCGUGCCCACCCCUACACGCGAUGAUCAAUCUUCCCCUUUGAGGAUUCAUUCCCUACCCCAAGUAAAACUACCCCUCUCCCCAUGCUCGGGGGACCAGAGUUUUGUGAAAUUAUUCCCUAUUGUCUCGAUUUUUCUUUGCUACAUGCUCCAAAUAAAAGUUCCACUUUGUGAAACGACUACUUCUGGUGCAGAAGGGACCCUCGUUUAGUCCGGUAACAAAUGCAGCUUCGAUCGCAGCUCUGCCGUCCUCAUUGGCUGUGGAAUCUUAGACAAGUGAUUGGGCCUCUCCCAGCCUCAGUUUCCUCAUCUGUGGAAGGGGCAUUGUUGCUGCUGCCCCAUGGGUUAUUGUGUGAGUUCAUGAGGUGAUACAUGUCAGAGGUUACAAAGUGGCCCACAUGGGCCCACACCAGGGUCUCCUCGACCUUCACUGUGUUUUAAAUUUUUUUGAAUGUGUUGGCAACAUUUAAAAGGUCAGAGGAAGUGUUGCAGGAUGAGAGAGUUCUCGAGCUGGAUGGUGGUGGUGCUUACACAACAGUGUGAAUGAACUUCUUCGAGCCACUGAACUGCAAACUUAAAAAUGGUUAAGAUGGCAUGUUUUAUGUGUAUUUUACCUCAAAUUUAUUUAAAAAUGUCAGGAAAUAUCACAUGGAAACCUUGAUUUCCGGCCUUUCAUGAAAACUGGGAGGACUGGGGUGUGCUGGGCCCACAUUCCCGCAGGGCCCUGGAGGCUGGACUGGAGCUGUUGUUACCACUUUCGGUAUUGAGUGCACCCCUGAGACGGGGACAACAGACAGAGGCCCUCGGCAAAUAUGAGCUCCUCUCUCUUUGGCCCUCACUUCUCAUAUUCCUCCCAAAUCAAUUGUCUCUGCUACAGGGUUAGGUGGAGACAGAGGGAGAGCGAGAGAUGGAGUGAGAGAUGGAGAGACAGAGAGAGAUGGAGUGAGAGAGAGAGAGAUGGAGAGAGAGAGAGAGAAGGAGAGAGAGAUGGAGACAGAUGGAAAGUAAGCGAGAAAUAGAAAGGUGUGUACAGAGAGAGAGCACCAUCCUGCUGUCACCUACUGGAGCCCAAUCAUCCCCGCUGCCCCUCCACGUGGUCCUGAACACCCUCCCGCCCCGCCGCCUGCCUGGCUCUCUCCCUCCAGUCCUGGUCCCUGCCUUUCUGCUGUUCCUUGGCUUCAUUAAUGCUUCCCUCACCCCCUGGUGUCUCUUGUUUUAACAGGACACCCACACAGCCCUGUCCCGCCUGCCUUCUCCACGAGGCAGUUCUCCCAGGCUGCCCAUUUCCGACACAAGCCCAAGGGUGCAAACCGCAUCAUGGAGAGUCUGGGCAGCAGAGCAGUUAGCAGGAAAGACAGAGGGACGAGAGGCUCAUUCCUGCCAGCAGGCCAGCCAGGGCCUAAGGCCCCACCAAAGGGUCACUGCCCCCCCCCCCCAACCACCACCAGGCACCCAGAGCUGGGACCCGGGAGUCGUCCUGGUUCUUCCCUCCCUCCCUUAAUCUCUCUCCAGCGCACUAUCACCUCUCCCUCCCGAAGCCACUGCCUUGGUCCAGGCCCCCUGACCCCACAUCACAAGGACCAUGGUCUAGUUCCCACUUCCCUCACAACCACCCACUGUGGCAGUGACCUUCCUGUAAGAAAAGCUGGUCGCAUCCUUUCCAUGCUGAAUAACCCUGAAGGCCGCAUGUCCUUCUAAACAAAGGCUAACUCCCCUGGAGGACGUGCAGCAUCCUCCCCAGUCUGGCCCCAGCGCAACUCCCGGCCUCAGCCCUCCCCCAUGAAGCUCACACAGCCUCCACUGCUCACUCAAGUCUCCCUGGGGCCACCAGGCUUUUGCACAUGCUGUCCCAGUGCUGACAGCACCCUUAGCCACCUCACCUGCAGUCAACCCCUAAUGCCCUUCAACACUCUGCUUAAAUGUCACUCCUCGGGGGCGUCUUCCCUGCCUGGGGGAUCACUGGAUGCCCCUGCCGCCCAGCCUCCUAUGUCGCCAUGGACUUUGUACAUCUCUGUGCUCUGCCAGUCACUAUGUUCUGGUGUAACUGUGCUUACAUGUCUGUUCUCAUCAUUCUCAUCACUCCACCCGCAACUUCCCUCCGCCCCUGAGCCUUGCAGGCUGGGACUGUGGCUUGCUCAGUGUGUAUCCCGAGCACUCCGCACAGGGCCGGGCACACAGGAGGGACUGGGUAAGGGAAUGUGGAAUGUGGUUUGCACGGGCAGUAGAAGAGGAAAACCAGUCAGGGCACGAAGAUCAGUCAGCUCAGGGGCACAGGGUCCAGGACAGGAAGGGGAGCAGGACUCCUUCCCUCCUUAGGCUCCUGGAGUAGUUGGGGUGGGAGAAGGAGUGUCUGUCCACUAAGACUUUCUGUAGCCCACUGCGGUCCAGCCUGGGCACCUGCCUCCUGCCACACUGGCUUCAGGCCUGGUGGGGCUCCAGGGAGCCCUUGCAGGGCAGGCCAACCUGGAUCCUGGCCUGGGGAGGACAAGGUGGAUGGACACAACCGGACAGAACUGGGCACCAUUUUGGACUUUAUCACUUGCUCCCUGGGCGAGCUUGGGCAAGUUGCUUAACCCUUCUGAGCCUGGUUGCCUCACUAGUGGAACAGGAGCUAAGCUUGCCUCCCUCGGAGAGCACUGGAGCCCGAGUCUGGCACACGACAGGCCCUCAGUAAUUGCUAGUCUUCACCUUCUGGAUGAAAUAUGUCCCUGGAAGCAAUGGCAGCUGAGGGAAGCUGGCUGGUCUACAUCAGACAGGUCCUCCUCUCCCUCUGGAGGAGCCAAUGGGGAUGCCCCCCUCCUGCAACCCUGGCCCUGCCCCCUUCCUAAGCACAGUGAACCUGGGAGGGCGGGGAGAUCUGGGGCCACAGGCUCAGGAAGGCUGAUGGGAGCAGGAAGGAGGCAAAGGUGAGUCAGGGGGCAUUUCUGACCACAUUUCUGCCGUGGUCUCACCGUCAUGGGGCACUGAUGUUAACCGCCAUUUUGAUUUCCUCGUCCCUUCAGUCUCCAGGAAUCAGGCCUGCCAAACCUGCUCCCUUUUCCAGUCUCUUGCUCUCUCCUCAGACCCUCUUCAUUUUGGCUCUUCCUGUGGGUUAAAAGGAGGAGACAGGGCCAGGCAUCGUGCCCCUCCCAUAGGAGGGUGGGGUGACACCCUGACCAUCUGCCUGGGUGGGUGGUGGAGGGAGGGAGGUGGGGGGGGUGGACCCUGAUUGAUUGGGAAACACCCAAAACUCACUUCUUGGCUCAGUCUCCUGCCAAUGCGGGCAGCCACAGAAGACCGAGGCCCCACCUUCCAUCCCUCCUGCCAAGUGAGGCUGUGCUGGAGAAACUCCACUGGGAAGAAAGAAGCAAAGAACCAUCCACAAGGUGCUGAGGACCCCUCAAGAGAUGGACCAGCCGAUGCCUUUCGUCGCCGAAAUGCCAGGUGGGCUGUACCCCUCCAAGGAAAUUGUCGUGUGAGGCAUUGCCCUGCCCAGCGCUGAGAGGUUGCAAAUCAACUUGUACUCUGGGAAUGACAUCGCCCUCCACCUGGACAUCCGUUUCCGUGAGAACGUUGUGGUCUGCAACACAAAGAUGAACGGCAUUUGGGGGUCGGAGGAGCGAAGCCCGAUUGAAAAAAUGCCCUUCAUCCCAGGCCAAAGAUUCUUGGUACGUUGCUGCAGGCUGCAGCUGAGGGGGUCUCUCGGGGCAAAUGGAGUAUGGGGUCGGGGACAUCUGGGGGCCCUUGAACAAGAUGGGAGCUGAUGCCUCUGCGGUGAGGGCUGGUCCCAGAAGAAGAGAAAGUGUUCAACCAGUUGUUGUUAUUAUUUUACUGUUACUGUCCCACAUGUCCCACUGUCCCACAUCUGCUCUUUACAGAUGAGGAAACAGACUCACAAGUGCAGGUUACUGGCCUGAGGUCACACAGAUGAUACGUGCCAGAUGGAGCCCAAGAAUGAGGUAUCAUCCCUGUAUUCACUCACUCACUCACUCAUUCAACAAUCAUUUCAGCUGUUGUCUCAGGAUGUACUUUGUGCAGGAAGCACCCCAGGGGCUGGGGGUACAGCCUGGAGCAGACAGACUCCCUGCCCCACGGAGUCUGCAGUUUAGGAGGCAGAGGAAGCAGGAAACAAACGCACGGACAGACCCUUGCAGAUAAGAACAGGUGCUCUGCAGAAAGCAAAGCAGAAUAGAGGGAUAGAGUGAGCCCCGGGGCAGGGGCGGCACUGUCUUAGACGGGACAGCUCUCCCAGGAGGCCACCGUGCCCUUGAGACCCCAAUGGCAGAAGGAGCGGCCUCGCAAAGAUCUGCAGGUGCAUUGGGGCUGCAGCAGAGGGAGCCCCUGUUACUGCAGAGGCAGAGUCCUGGGCGUGGCCUGUCUGGGACCAGGGGACGGGGGGGCUCCCAGGUGGAUGGACAGUGAGGACAGAGAGGUGAGGGUGGGGCGACUGAGGCCCAGCUCACACAGAGCAGGUGUUCUCAGCCCCGACCACACAGUCAAACCCCUGGGAACUUAAAGAAGGAAAAUCAAUGCCUGGGCCUGCCUGGGGCCAACGAGGGGGUGAGCCUGGGCCUCCCUAUUUUUAAAUCCGCCCUGGUGCUCCUCCCCCAGGGUUGAAAUGACUGAUGUCGGGCCGUGAGGGCCAUGGAAAGAGCUGGGAUUUUAAUACAGCGUGUUGGUGUGUUUCAAGCCAGAGGGCAAUGUACUUUGAUUUCUAGACAGCUGGGUGACUGUGAGCAAGUGAGUUAACUGCUCUGUGGCUCAGUUUCCUCAUCUAAAAAUGGGCUAAUAAUAACAACAAUCUCAGAGAUGUAAGAAUGAAAUGAAAUCUUAUCUGUGACAUGCUUAGGACAGUGCCUGGCGGGCAGUAAGUGUACAAGUGUCAGCUAUUGCGAUGGGGAUGAUGACAUUUUAACAGACAUGCUCCAACUGCCUCUUGGAGAAAGUUUGGGUGGAAAAGACAAGUUAGGAGGCUGCCGCUGCAGGAGUGCAAGCGCAGAACACUCCUCUGUACCAGGGACAAGGGACAGGGACGGCACAAGCCAGCAUUCCUGUCCCUGGAGGCUCAGGGUCCAGUUGGAGAAUGAGGAUGGGGCUGGGGGACAUGACCUAAGGGGCACCUGACUCGACUAGGAGGGAGUCAGGAGGUGUGCGAGGCAGGGAAGGCUCGCCAUCCUGGAGGGAGAUUAGCAGUCAUCCGUGUGGGCAAGGUGUCCUAAGUGCCGAGCACAGGAGGAAGGGCAUUCUGGGCGGUGGGGGCAGAAUAUGCAAAAGUACAGGGGCAAGAGAAUCUUGGGCAUGCUGAGUAAAGAACAAAUCAUUCAGAGCAGCUAGAAGGCAGGUAUAGGGCCUGCUUGAUGAAAGUGUGAGGAAGGCAGGAAUGAGAGAAGGAGACACGAGCCUGCAUUUAGAUUUGAGGGCUCUCCAAGUGGAGUGCAAAUAGCAUGGCCUCUCCACCCAGGUGCGCAUCACGUGUGAAGCCAACUGCUUCAGGGUGGAUGUGAAUGGUGGGCACCUGUGUGAGUACUACCACCGCCAGAACAACUUGUCCUCCAUCAACAAGGUGGAAGUGGUGGGCGACAUCAAGGAGAUUCAGAUUCAGAUGCAGGAGGGAUCCCUGGCCUGGGCUCUAGGGCUGGGGCACAUUGCUGUCUGGAUCUGCUCAUCACCUCCACCUUCCCCGUCCCUGCCCCAGCCCCAGCCCUUCCCAGCCUGCAGAGGGUCUCUUUUCUGGGGAGACCACGCCCUUGUCUGGCCUUGAUG
ensembl:lncRNA